GGACACGUACUGCACGGACCGUUUGCGGAUAUUUUGACAGACAAUCUUGAUUAUAUUUUGUUGCACUCUGUUCGCCAGUUUAUAUUUAUUUUAUUUACGUUUUCGAUGCCUGAAUGCAUAAAGAGUGGCUCCAUUGAUUAAUGAAAAUUCCUUGAGGAAUAUCAAACAAGAAGACCCUUUUCCACCAUCAAAAAUUGAGGUUUGUUUCGGACUUUGUAACAGUUGUGAUUGGAUGUUCAUUUCAGAAAACAUACACAUCUUGAAGAAAGUAGAGUCGUUGGGGUAUUGACCAACAAAAGAAUCUGACAAAAGGUUUCUACAUUUUGCUAUUGUCCAGAGAACCCUUUUCAACCGAUGAAUGGCUCCUAAUUUAUCAUAUUUUUAUGUCCUUUUUACUUAUCUAUUCUGGGAAUGUUAAAAAUUAGGGUUUCGUCCAGAGGGCUUUGUCUGUCUCAACCUUAAAAUUAAAAAAUCGGCUCACAGU